GGGCAGGUAGCUCAGUUGGUAGAGCAACGGACUGAAAAUCCGUGUGUCGGUGGUUCAAAUCCACUCCUGCCCA
rnacentral:tRNA from 4 species